CUGCAAUCUCAAAAAGAAAACAACUCAAGAAGACUAUCAGCUCCAUCAUAGCUGCAACAUGCUCGGGUUUGAGCAAAACUGAGGCACUUGAUGAAAUCGACAAGAUUCAGAAAGAGAUUUUGAUGCUACAAACAGAAAAAGAGUUUGUCAAGAGCUCAUAUGAACGUGGGGCUGCCAGGUACUGGGAAAUUGAAAGCCAGAUCACGGAGAUGCAAUCCAGAGUUUCUGACUUACAAGAUGAGUUCGGUAUUGGCACAGUCAUUGAAGAUGAUGAGGCUCGCAGUUUGAUGUCUACCACUGCUCUCAAAUCAUGCCAAGGGACCUUGGCUCAAUUGCAAGAGAAACAAGAACGCGUA
rnacentral:lncRNA from 1 species